rnacentral:rRNA from 1 species
GUGGGGAAUAUUGGACAAUGGGGGCAACCCUGAUCCAGCCAUGCCGCGUGGGUGAAGAAGGCCUUCGGGUUGUAAAGCCCUUUUGUACGGGAAGAAAAGCUUCUGGUUAAUAACCGGGAGUCAUGACGGUACCGUAAGAAUAAGCACCGGCUAACUUCGUGCCAGCAGCCGCGGUAAUACGAAGGGUGCAAGCGUUACUCGGAAUUACUGGGCGUAAAGCGUGCGUAGGCGGUGAGUUAAGUCUGAUGUGAAAUCCCCGGGCUCAACCUGGGAAUGGCAUUGGAUACUGGCUCGCUAGAGUACGGUAGAGGGUGGUGGAAUUCCCGGUGUAGCAGUGAAAUGCGUAGAGAUCGGGAGGAACAUCUGUGGCGAAGGCGGCCACCUGGACCAGUACUGACGCUGAGGCACGAAAGCGUGGGGAGCAAACAGGAUUAGAUACCCUGGUAGUCC